rnacentral:rRNA from 1 species
GAGUAACACGUGAGUAAUCUGCCCUUGGCUUUGGGAUAACUCCGGAAACGUGGCUAAUACCGGAUAUGACCAUGCUCGGCAUCGGGUGUGGUGGAAAGUUUUUUCGGCCAGGGAUGUGCUCGCGGCCUAUCAGCUUGUUGGUGGGGUAAAUGGCCUACCAAGGCUUCGACGGUAGCCGGCCUGAGAGGGUGACCGGCCACACUGGGACUGAGACACGGCCCAGACUCCUACGGGAGGCAGCAGUGGGGAAUAUUGGACAAUGGGCGGAAGCCUGAUCCAGCAACGCCGCGUGAGGGAUGACGGCCUUCGGGUUGUAAACCUCUUUCAGUACCGACGAAGCGCCGUAUGAUGGUGGUGACGGUAGGUACAGAAGAAGCACCGGCCAACUACGUG